AGGAACCCCACAUAACAAAAUAUAUAAAAUGACUCCUGCACUCCAUAUAUCUAUUUCUGGUCCAUAGUUUCGUUUGAGCACCUCAGGAGCCAUAUAAUAUGGACUUCCAACUAUUUCGGAGAACUUCUCACCUGGCUUGAAGAAGAUUGACAAGCCAAAAUCAAUUGCUUUAAGAGGUGAAUUUUCCUUCUUAUUAGCAAACAAAAAGUUCUCGGGCUUCAAAUCUCUAUGAAUCACUCCAUGUUUGUGACAAAGCUGCACAACCUCCACAAUCG
rnacentral:misc_RNA from 1 species